UGAGGAAUAUUGCGCAAUGGGCGAAAGCCUGACGCAGCGACGCCGCGUGGGGGAUGAAGGCCUUCGGGUCGUAAACCCCUUUUCUGGGGGACGAGGAAGGACGGUACCCCAGGAAUAAGUCCCGGCUAACUACGUGCCAGCAGCCGCGGUAAUACGUAGGGGGCGAGCGUUAUCCGGAUUUACUGGGCGUAAAGCGCGCGCAGGCGGCCUCGUAAGUCGGGCGUGAAAGCCCCCGGCUCAACCGGGGGAGGCCGCUCGAUACUGCGAGGCUUGAGGUCGGGAGAGGGGCGUGGAAUUCCCGGUGUAGCGGUGGAAUGCGUAGAUAUCGGGAGGAACACCAGUGGCGAAGGCGGCGCCCUGGCCCGCACCUGACGCUGAGGCGCGAAAGCGUGGGGAGCGAACGGGAUUAGAUACCCCGGUAGUCCACGCCGUAAACGAUGGGUGCUAGGUGUUGGUGGUGUCAAAACCAUCAGUGCCGAAGCUAACGCGUUAAGCACCCCGCCUGGGGACUACGGCCGCAAGGCUAAAACUCAA
rnacentral:rRNA from 1 species